UUGCAGUGAAAACGUCAUAAAAAACAGAAUCAGAGGUGGAACUGGGGCUAGAUUUAGCUAACAGAGUUUCCCAGUUAGUGGCGCGUUGUUGACAACUGAUGUUUGAUGUAGACAACUUUGGUUCACUGACAAUAUUUCAAUAAUAAUAAACAGUUUAUUGUGGACAAAUGCCUCUGCCAAGAAACACAGUCAUAACGUGUUUCAAAUUA